GGAGACCACCGACGGCCAUGUUAGGUGGUUCCGGAGCUGCGGCCCCGAGCGGGCUGAAGAUCUCAGUGCGUGCGGAGCUUGAGUGGUGGCGCGGUGGGGGACGGUGCCGGACCCCUGCUGCAUUGUUUUACUACAGGAAUGGUUGGAAGGUAGCCGAGCGGGAACGGGACGCUGCUCUGACUCCGUAGAUCACACCAGGGGUAAACGUUUCCCCCAGUGAAGAAGGGGAGAGGCAGAAAGGACGUAUGAAUUAUGAUUAGGCGUAUUGGUAUAUGCAGCUCUGCGGUCUGAUCCGUAACACUGAAUCAAUCUAGAGUAUAUGCUGAAAGACUGCGAAGACUCGAAGCUCAUCAGUGUGGAGAACCAGAUUCUUCAUUGUGGAAAGAUGAGAAAUUUCCUUUCCUCCUGAUGGUGUAUGAAGGGUUAAAAUACUGAUCUGUGUGCUUUGUGCUGUUUAUUCUCUGUGCAUUUGCAGUUUAUUCAGAAAAAAAAACCUAUAGAUGUAGCUCAGUGGUAGAGCACAUCCAGCCUAGGUCAUCCAAGGUCCUGUGUUCAGUUCCCCAGCACUGAUGGGGUUUGUUUGGGUCAGUUGACUUACGCACUACACCUCUCUGACAGGAGUUAAUAAAAUUACAGCUGAUAAGGUAAUCCUAUCAAAGAAAAGUAGACAAAAUGAUUUUUCAAAGACUCACAUGUUGUGCAUCUGGAAACAAGCCACAUGUGUGGUUUUCAUCCUGAGGUGAUGUGCAUGUUGGUGUCAUCCAUGAAUUCAACAGUUUUAAAAGCUCACAAAUAUUCCUACGUAAGCACGUGCAAAUAAUGAUGGGCUGGACAGAUGGUUUAGUGAUUAAGGUGCUUGCCUGCAAAGCCUAAGGACCCAUGUUAGACUCUCCAGUUGCCAUGUGAACCAGGCGCACGAGGUGAUGCAAGCACACAAAGCUGCACAUGUGCACAAGGUGGUGCACUCAUCUGAAGUUGGAUUGCAGUGGCUGGAGCUCCUGACGUGCCCAUUCUGUCUCCCUCUCUCUCACUUGCUCUCUUAAAAAAUUUGCCAAAAGUUACUUUUUAAGCCAGGUGUGCUGGCUCAUGCCUUUAAUUCCAGCACUCUUGGGAGGCAGAGAUAGGAGGAUCGCAGCGAGUUCAAGGCCACCUGAGACUGCCUAGUAAAAUCCAGGUCAUCCUGGC